GCUCUUGUGGUCUAGUGGCUAUGAUUUCUCGUUUACACCGAGAAGGUCCUUGGUUCGAACCCAAGCAAGAGCA